AGGGUUCGAUCCUGGCUCAGAAUGAACGUUGGCGGCGCGGAUUAGGCAUGCAAGUCGCACGAGAAACUAAUUAGCUUGCUAAGAGGUGGACAGUGGCGCAAGGGAGAGUAACGCGUGGUUACUUGCCCUCGAGACCGGGAUAGUGUCGGGAAACUGGCAGUAAUACCGGAUAACAUCUUCGGAUCAAAUGGUGUGAUUCCGCUCGAGGAUAGGACCGCGUACUAUUAGCUUGUUGGUGAGGUAACGGCUCACCAAGGCUUCGAUGGUUACCGGGUGUGAGAGCAUGGCCCGGCUCACUGGGACUGAGACACUGCCCAGACACCUACGGGUGGCUGCAGUCGAGAAUCUUCGGCAAUGGACGAAAGUCUGACCGAGCGACGCCGCGUGCGGGAUGAAGGCCCUCGGGUUGUAAACCGCUGUCAGUAGUUAGGAAGUCCAUGAGGGUUAUCUCUCAUGGUUGACCGAUCUUCAGAGGAAGGACGGGCUAAGUUCGUGCCAGCAGCCGCGGUAAGACGAACCGUCCAAACGUUAUUCGGUAUCACUGGGCUUAAAGCGUGCGUAGGCGGCUUGGUAGGUGAGAUGUGAAAGCCCACGGCUCAACCGUGGAAUUGCGUUUCAAACCCCCAAGCUCGAGGAAGAUAGGGGUGAUGGGAACUUAUGGUGGAGCGGUGAAAUGCGUUGAUAUCAUAGGGAACACCGGUGGCGAAAGCGCAUCACUGGAUCUUUUCUGACGCUGAGGCACGAAAGCUAGGGUAGCGAACGGGAUUAGAUACCCCGGUAGUCCUAGCCGUAAACGAUGAACACUGGGUUGAGGGGACUUCCACAUCCUCUCGGCCGUAGCGAAAGCGUUAAGUGUUCCGCCUGGGGAGUAUGGUCG
rnacentral:rRNA from 1 species